GCUUGUCUCAAAGAUUAAGCCAUGCAUGUCUCAGAAUAAAUCUCUAUACGUUGAAUCUGCAAAUGGCUCUUUAAAACAGUUAUUGUUUACUUGAUGGUCAUUCCUUACAUGGAUAACCGUGGUAAUUCUAGAGCUAAUACAUGCUGUAAAGCCCGACUUCUCGGAAGGGCCGUAUUUAUUAGAUAACAGACCAAUAUUCCUCGUGUCUAUUGUGGUGAAUCAUAGUAACUGAUCGGAUCGCAUGGGCUACGCCCGCGACAAACCAUUCAAGUUUCUGCCCCAUCAGCUUUCGAUGGUAGUGUAUUGGACUACCAUGGCUUUUACGGGUAACGGAGGAUUAGGGUUCGAUUCCGGAGAGGGAGCCUGAGAAACGGCUACCACAUCUAAGGAAGGCAGCAGG
rnacentral:rRNA from 1 species